CAAAAAUAUAAUUGAUGACAUUAAAAAUAUUCACUGAUAAUUAACAAUGUCUCGUUAUUUAUAAUAAAUAAAGAAUCAAGGUGGUGUUUGAAUUAAUACAUUUUUUUCCCUUAAACACAUUACAAUAAAUUCUAUUGACUCUUGUCUAUGCUUCCAUUGUAAAAUGAAUUUCUUCGGCUCUCCUAGUAAGCUUUCCAAGUUACCCUGUGUUCUUCAAUGUCGGCUUAUCUUUUCAGGAACUCUUCUCAACUGGGGCUGACUCUGUUUCUCAAGGCCUGAAGAAACUCACAUGGAGGAGUAGAAAAGGGGAGAGAAAUCCCCCAGAUGCUGCAGAGCGUGCUCAUGGGAGGUUCGCUCACAGUGCACCUGGACAACACAGCGAAUCUUUUAAAAUACCUGAGUCCUGAGCAUUCACACUUUGUCCCCCGAGUGCCACCUUGGAGAGAGCAGGACAGUCCCACGAGGAACCAGCAACCCCUCUUCUGUGGGCCCUCUCCUCUCCUGCUGCUGAUCUGUGGGUCCCGCUUCACUUCUUCUCUGCCCUGACCUGCCCUCACUGUUCCUCCUGAGGGUCCACCCAAGCCACUCAUGACUGAUCCCCCACACUUGAGGACAUCACAAGGUCAGUCCCUCUGCGUAUUGGCAUGUUUCUGGGUUCUAGCUGCACCCUGGGGUCACCAGAGGGGAAGGCUUUGCUUUCAGAGCAUUGAACCCUGGUCAACGAGGGCGUCUGUGAGUCAGAAAUAAAUGCCAACUUCUCUUAACAGGAGUAACACUCACACCUGUUAUCCCAGCACUCUGGGAAGCUGAGGCAGGAGAUUUCAAGUUAAAUCCAACCCUUGGCAACUAAGGGACUUAGUGAGGCCUUGUCUCCAAGUAAAACAAUCAGUAAAGGAUGGGGUGGGCCGCUCAGUGGGAAGGCCCUUGGUUCAGGCCCCAGUGGGACACCUCCCAUUUACAGACAAGAGCACUGAGGCUCAGACAGACAGCUGACUUCCCCAAGACUGCACGGAAACUAAGUGAUUCACUGAAGACUCCAGCUUUAUCUCCUAUUUCCAAACCCCAGUGCUUCCCUC
rnacentral:lncRNA from 1 species